ACCAACGAGUCUUUCUCUCUCCUAAAUUUUCUCUCAAUUUUUUUUCAUGAAACUUUCUCAAAUGUCCGCGUAAUCGCUUGUACUAGAUGGAAGAUAGGGAGGGUAAGGGUUCUUAUCAGUUUUUAACAGGUUCACAGGUUUCGAUCGAUCGAGAGGGGCUAAUUUUCUUCCCUUUUUCCUUUCUUUCCUUGUUUUUCGUUUUGAGAACUACUUUUCUUUCUCCGCUUCCCCUUUCUGCUUUUCUUUUCCUUUAUAGCUUCGCUUAGUUGAUCUCAGAACUUAAGUUCUUAGAUUUCUCUUCAUAAUCAUAUAGGGAUGGAUUCCUUACGAUUAUGGUCUUCUUAUAUGCUUGUCUCUUUUUUUGAGAUUCAAUUUCAUUUUUUUUAGUUUAUCCUUUUUGACUUUGAUUUCUAAAUUAUUUCAACCCCUUUUGUCUUGCUGAAAUUCAUCUUCGAGCAAUUUGGAUCAUCUGAAAUCCCUUUAAUCUCGGUAUUGUUAUUCUCUCUAAUCUAUCUGCUUAAACCGGAUUGGAUAAAAUAAGAGGUUCCUUUACUUUUUCCGUAUGUACCGUCUCUUUUCCUUCUAGAGAUAAGAUAGUCAGAGUCUUACCAAAGCAUUUCACACGUAUAGAUACGAUAAAAUGGAAUUUAAGGAACUUUCCCGACCGACCUUCGAAUGUAUAUCUCCUUUACGGCAUCUUUUUCCGGCAGCCUUUGUUGUUUCUUCUCCUCCCCCUUUUCUUCACUGGCUUAAUCCUACCGUUAUCUCCCUUUUCUCGUUUCUAGUUUUUCUUUAAGAAUAAAUGAUAUAUGUCCCUUAUUUAGUCUAGUUACCCAUUUCUCUUCUCCUGGUGGCUCCGAAUGAGACCAGUUUUGGCUGCAUCUUGGCAAUUUUAUCCCUCAUCUAUCUGGUUCGAUUGGUACUAAAUCUUUCUUUAUUGCUAAUUUUUUUUAAAAAUUAGCAAUCUAAUCUUUUUUAUUCCCUGGUUUUAAAAUUUAUAAUUAAACAUAGUCUAUUUUUGAGUUUUGACCAAAAAUUAUGUCCCUCUUUCCAAAAAUCCUGAGUAGUUCCUUUUGGGCUCUUAUCAAUGUUUAAAACCUUGUCGUACCUUCUCUGUUUUCUUGAACAAUUCUCUUGAAGCUGUUGAAUUUCUAUUGGAUCUCUUUGUUAAAGUAGCCAAUCUCUAUCCUUAUUUCUGUUCUUUCGUGUGUUAGACUUUAGAUAAUAGAAAUUUCAAAUUAUCUUUGUUUAAUACCUUUUUAUGGCUAAAUCAAAAACUUUAUUCAUAAUUUCUGCUUGUAUUGACCAAACUGUCUCCCUUCUCCUUUCAUCCUUACUUCUGAUAGCAUAUGCUAGGCAAAAGUACCUUUCUUUUUAGCUGAUAAUUAUGAUUCUUCGGUCAUCUGUAAUCUGGGUCGAUCGUCUGGCAUCCAUGAAAUGUUGAGUUAUUGACACGGGCUGAUUCCCAAAUACUGAUUCACUUUAGGAUAUCUUUAACCCAGCUUUAAUAAGAACUAGGCCAUCUUCUUCUCUCUUAUAAGAUCUCUAGGGAGUCUUUAAAAUUCUCUCUUUCAAUUUAAUCUGUUUCAUCCCUUUUCUAAGGAUCAGAUCCUCUAGUCGAUACCCUUCCUUCCGGCCUAAUCUAUGCAUCUCCUCAUCUCUUUUUUUUUUGCCUUUUGAACCAAAUUUCAAAAUUUCUAUUCCUGUUUCCUUUUUUUUCUUCGAAUUUCAUCUCUGAUUCCCCGAUACUCUGGAAUGCCCUCUCGAUUGAUCAAUACUGAUCGAAUUUAAAAGAACGCCUCAAUGGAAAAGAACCUUACUUACCUUUAUCCUUCUCCCUAUCCCCUCCAUCGAAGCAUAAGGAAGCGAUACAGGUGAUAGCCAAGGAGGAAGAACAUGGCAAUCCUCAAGUACAGAUCCACAAGAAGCAGAAGCAAUAGGAGUUCUUCGGGCUUCAAUUUGGGCUAAGGAAAAAGGGAUAAACAACUUCAGCAUAAAAGGGGACUGUGAAAGCGUCUUCAAUUAUUUACAGGGUCAUUCUCAAAUCAUUUCAUGGUAUGCUAAAGCCUAUCUAGAUGAGGCUGACAGAAUAACUAAACUUUGUCCAAACUUUUUUGGUUUUAGUUAUGUUCCUAGAUUAGGUAAUCAAGUAGGAGAUGUUCUUGCUAAAUCUGUAAGGUCUUUAAAUUCAGAGGUUGAAUGGGAUAACUCACCUCCAGUAUGUAUUUAAAAUCAACUUUCAGUAGAUAAAUCUAAUGUGGAGAGGUCUCAAACUCUUUCACAUUAGAUGGCUCUACUUCAUUUGUACUCUUGGCUCCUAGGGAGUCUUAGUUUUCUUUAUAAAGUUUCUUAUUUACAAA